UGAUAUCUAUAGGAGUUGAAGGGGAGCAGAAUCUGUCACCCCAAAAUAUGCCUCUUUGGCAUAAGGAUUAUUUUAGGCUGAUUAUUUUUAAGAAACAGCAGACA